rnacentral:rRNA from 1 species
AGCGAACGCUGGCGGCAGGCUUAACACAUGCAAGUCGAACGGGCUUCUUCGGAAGUCAGUGGCAGACGGGUGAGUAACACGUGGGAACGUGCCCUUCGGUUCGGAAUAACUCAGGGAAACUUGAGCUAAUACCGGAUACGCCCUUUUGGGGAAAGGUUGACUGCCGCAGGAUCGGCCCGCGUCUGAUUAGCUUGUUGGUGGGGUAACGGCCUACCAAGGCGACGAUCAGUAGCUGGUCUGAGAGGAUGAUCAGCCACACUGGGACUGAGACACGGCCCAGACUCCUACGGGAGGCAGCAGUGGGGAAUAUUGGACAAUGGGCGCAAGCCUGAUCCAGCCAUGCCGCGUGAGUGAUGAAGGCCUUAGGGUUGUAAAGCUCUUUUGUCCGGGACGAUAAUGACGGUACCGGAAGAAUAAGCCCCGGCUAACUUCGUG